rnacentral:rRNA from 1 species
GAAUUCGGCUUCGGUAAUUCCAGCUCCAAUAGCGUAUAUUAAAAUUGUCGCGGUUAAAACGCUCGUAGUUGGAUAUCUGUGAGCGGGUUCCGGUCCUUCCCAGUGAAGAUUACACGGAACUCUGCUCGCAUUUGUUCAGGGAGGGUGGAUGCACUUCAUUGUGUGACCACAUGAUCUGAAUUUUUACUUUGAGGAAAUGAGAGUGUUCCAAGCAGGCAAUCGCCGUGAAUAUGAUAGCAUGGAAUAAUAGCACAGGACUCUUGGUUCAAUGCUGUUGGUUAAUUGAACUAGAGUAAUCACAAUAAGGAUAGUUGGGGGUAUUCGUAUUUAACUGUCAGAGGUGAAAUUCUUGGAUUUUUUAAAGACGAACAAUUGCGAAGGCAUCUACCCAGGAUGUUUUUGUUGAUCAAGAACGAAAGUUAGGGGAUCGAAGACGAUCAGAUACCGUCCUAGUCUUAACCUUAAACUAUGCCGGCUGGAGAUUGGAGUCGUCAGAUUUGUGACGUCUUCAGCAUCCUAUGAGAAAUCUAAGUCUUUGGGUUCCGGGGGGAGUAUGGUCGCAAGGCUGAAACUUAAAGGAAUUGACGGAAGGGCACCACCAGGAGGGGAGCCUGCGGCUUAAUUUGACUCAACACGUGAAAACUCACCAGGUCCAGACAUAGAUAGGAUUGACAGACUGAUAGCUCUUUCUUAAUUCUAUGGGAGGUGGUGCAUGGCCGUUCUUAGUUGGUGGAGUGAUUUGUCUGGUUAAUUCCGUUAACGAACGUGACCUUAACCUGCUAAAUAGUGAUCUGAACCUCGUUUCAUGAGCUACUUCUUAGAGGGACUUCGUGUGUUUAACGCGAGGAAGUUUGAGGCAAUAACAGGUCUGUGAUGCCCUUAGAUGUCCUGGGCUGCACGCGCGCUACACUGAUGUGUCCAGUAAGCACCUAACCUCUUCCGAAGGGAACGGGUAACCUUAGCAAAGCACAUCGUGAUGGGGAUAGAUUAUUGCAAUUAUUAGUCUUGAACGAGGAAUUCCUAGUAAGCACAAGUCAUCAGCUUGUGUUGAUUACGUCCCUGCCCUUUGUACACACCGCCCGUCGCUCCUACCGAUUGAAUGUUCCGGUGAAUACUUCGGACUGCGUGGUUUGCAGUUUCUGCAUUCCUUGCGGAAAGUUGAAUAAACCUUAACAUUUAGGGGAAGGAGAAGUCGUAACAAGGUAAGCCGAAUUC